AUUUCACCAGAACAUCACCAUUUACAGGAGGAACUGUUGUUCCUGAAACUGUUUGUAAGACAUCGGGUCUGAGAUGUGGAGUUCUUGUUUUCUUAAGCGUUUUUGGAAUGUUAUAUGAAAACCAAUAUAGAGCUGCAUAUUUUUGAGGAAGGGUUACGCUCCAGCUCUAACUAAAACUUUAAUAAGCUUAAUUCACAGAGCACUCCAAGGACUCAGCCAAACUGCCAAAGAAAAAGCGAUUUUUAUGCUUUGUAUGUGCAGUAUAACAUUGUGCUGCCAGAUGGCGACAUGGAGUCCCGUUUUUAUCUACCUGUUUUCCCUGUUUAAAUUUACAGUUCUUUAAACUGAAACGUUUCUUUGAUCAAGCCCAAAUAGGUAUCUUUUCAUGUCCCAAAGUGCUACAAAUUCUGCUUUUUGCAGUAUGCCAGGGGAUGAUGUAUUUUCAUUUAUAGGCACUGUAAUCCUUCUUAUAUUACUUAAGUUGCCUUUCCCGCUUCGUGGAUGAUUUAUGGCAGAGGCAUACGCUCCCAUUGGCCUCUCUUACAAUGAUUAAAUUGGAAUAUAAUAACCCAUCACUCUGAGUAUAUUGCCUAAAUAUAAGUUCAUGGGAAAUUUGAGUCUCCCCCAUUCACAAUAAGGAUGAUGGUAAUGAAGAUAGGGCAAUAGCUGCGGUUGAUGCUUACAUGCACCUGAUAAAGGCAGGAGUACCCUUCCCACACAAGCUCAGUAGGCACUCAUUUGUCUUCAUCUUGGUGGAAGGACUACACCUGGCUUGAAGGAGUGUCCUUAUCUCGAAGGAGUGUUCUUACUUUGCAAGCUCCUUCAGUACCAAGGAGUCAGCUCCACCACCAGCAGGCCUUUUCAUAGCUCAGCCAGUAGAGCAGAAGGCUGUAAACAGAGAUUUGAGGCAUCUGUGGGUGCAAAGAGCUCAGAAUGGAAGCAGAAGCAUCAUUUUGACAGGUUCAAGUCAAGGAGCAUUGUACCAGAUUGGUUGCACCCCCAGUGCUGCUGUUGAGAAGAGGAAGCUGCAAACAGUGGGACGGACUACCUUGGAAAGUGAUACACUCUUCUUCAUUGGAGGUUAUUAAGCAGAGGUUGGAUGGCCAGCUGACAUGGAUGCUUUAGCUAAAAUUCCUGCAUUUAAGGGGGUUGUAACAGACUCCAACUCCACCGUUCUGUGAUUCCAUGCCUGUUAUAAUUUGGCUGGUUUCUUAUAUAGGGACACCUCUCACAAGUAUAUUGUGUGGACAUCAAGUGAAUCCUUUUUUAACUUUAAAAAAAAGAGGUAAAGGACCCCAUCUCACUUCAGGCUGAGGGGGCCGGUGUUUGUCUGCAGACAGCUUUCCAGGUCAUAUGGCCAGCAUGACUAAACCUCUUCCGGCGCAAUGGGACACCAUGACAGAAGCCAGAGUGCACGGAAAUGCCGUUUAUCUUCCCGCCACAGUGGUACCUAUUUAUCUACUUGCACUGGCAUGCUUUCGAACUGCUAGGUUGGCAGGAGCUGGGAGAGAACAAUGGGAGCUCACCCAUUGUGGGGAUUCGAAAUACUUACCUUCCAAUCAGCAAUCCCCAGAGGCUCCGUGGUUUAGACCACAGCUCCUCACAUUCCCUUUUUUUACCUACCCAAAGCCUGUAAAACAGAACUCAAAACAAGGAUUUGUAUUUGGAUCAGAGCUGAAUCAGGCAGUCUACAAAGUGCUUUAAACCAAAUCAGACUAUUUCCAAAGCACAAAACUGAGGUCUGAAUUGAAACUUGUAGUUGGGGCACACCCUUAAUUUAUGUUCCUAGUUCAAGUAGACCGGAAUGAUUCAAGAAGUUGGAUAAUCAUUCAUGUAGUUCAUGAUCUCCCUCAUAGCCAUUUGUUUACUUGCUCUUGAUUACUCUGGAACUUCUCAGUUACUCCUUGAAUACGCUGGCUCUUUAUGGAUCAAUUCACCAGCUGUCUUCCUUCCCCCGUGUUUUGGUUUCCAGACAAUCUACCAUCUGAGAUCAUUGAUCAUUUGCCCUUGGCCAUAAUCUUUUCUGCUUGACAGGCUUUCGGCAAGGCAUCUAGCCUACUCAUCUCCCUGUAUACAAACUGCAUGCCGCUUUGCCCAGAAUACUCCAGUGGCCUUCUCAAGUUUGUGUGUGUAACGGCAGAUGGUGCUAACAUAUGGAGUAGCAGUCAGGAGUAGUAGGGAAUUCAGAAACGUCGUCCUCCGAUUGGUGCUCAAGCUUUGCAGCUCUGCCCGAGAGCUUUCCAACAGGGUGGGGGAAGUGAUCUUACUCAAAUUUGCAGGAACGCUAAGAAGAGGCAUUGAUCCAACACAUUUUUUGGAGUGCUGGAUGUAAUGCACAGUGCUUUCCUAUAAACAUGUUGGAAGGAAAGAGUAAGAGACAGUGAGAGAGCCAGAGGACUAGACAUAGAAAUAUACAUAGGGUAAUAAGCAACUGAGUCCUGUUCACAGCAGACUCACUGAAAUUAGUGGACAUGACUAAGUUAGAUCUUCUCUGACAAAACCACCCUUAUAAUUUAUUACUCAGUUUGGAGUCUGGAAUGAUGUUUGUCCCCAGUUAGACCAACCAGGUACCCUGGUUUCCUUUUUUACUUGAAUGUAACCACUUUGGCUGUAGUGUUCAACUGCCUUCUUCUGAAUUAUCAUACUAUUGUUCCAUCUCUCAUCAGUACUGUCUGCUCUGAUAGGCAACAGUUCGCUGAGGCUUCAGGCAGGGUCUUCCUCAGCCCCAACUAUCAGGGAUUCCGUUUUAAGAACAUAAAAUCCAUGUUAAAGCAGACCAAAGGCAUGUCUAGUCCAGGCGUAUCUUGCAGUGGACAACCAGAUAUGAGGAACGGUUGAAGGAGCUGGGUAUGUUUAGCCUGGAAAAGAGGAAACUGAGAAGAGGUAUGACAGCCAUCUUCAAAUAUCACAAGGGCUGUCACAUGGAAGAGGGAACAAGUUUAGCUUCUCCUGCUCUGGAGGGUAUGACUCAAACCAAUGGCUUCAAGUUACAAGAAAGGAGAUUCUGACUAAACAUGAAUCUAUGAUUCCAUGAUUUAAAAAAUGCAUCGUUUUAUUACUUUGGUGUUCGUUUUCCUGGGCUCCUUUUGGGGGGAAAGGUGGGAUAGUGCCUUCAAUUAAAUAAUAUCUGGAAAGGAUGCCACUAAUGAGCUGUAGAGCUGAGGUAAUCAGAAAUUCACGUGUCUCUUUAUGGACAAGAUCCAUGAAUUUCCAUUUUGCAUACUACACCAAAAGUAUGGAAUUCAAAGGGUUAGAUGUGCUUUUAUUGCAGGGCAGUUGUGGGAACUGACUUUCUGUCUGAUAUCUGUGUAAUUUCCCUCUCUCUUUUUUUUUUUUUUUAAAAAAAACACACCUUCCAGCAUCAACAUUUCAACAACUUCUCUAGGCAAGUUGUUCCUUUGACUGGCUCCAUGUACAGAUCUUCCCAGAAACAAAAUCAAUGGUGUCCAAACGCUCCCAGAUCAAUAUUCUCUCCGCCUCUUAACUUAUGCUGUUUUAUACUUUUCUCGAGCUGCUUUGUGCUUCCCAACAAUUACCUGUUUUGAGACUUCAAGCUAUUUUAUUUUCAAAGAUUAGAAACAUCCAUAACUGAGAUCCAGUGGGUGGAGUUUAGAUACAGCUGUCCUCUUUCAACCAAGCGGAUUCAAAGUGUAGCCAAAAAGGCAAUGAUAAAAGCAGCACCCCUUCUGAAGUAUUUCUGACUCCUUUAUUAUUAUAACUCAGUAUUUUAGGGUGUCAGCAGCUACGCUUUGGAACUCCCUGCCUAUUGAUAUCAGUGAGGUGCCUUCACUGUACUCUUCUCAGCACACAUUCUUCUUUCGACAAGCCUACCCAGAUGUUUAGAAAGUUGGUGUGGAUUUAAUUCAUUUUUAGUCUAUUGUUAUUUUAGUCUUUGAAAGUUUUAAAUUAUUGUUUGCUGAUUUUUCUUAUUGCUCAUAUUAUUGCUUUAUCUUUUCUGUAAUCGAGUGAAAUAUGCAUUUACUGAAUAAUAAAUAAUAAACAGAUAACCGUGUGAGGGGAAUCAGAGCUUACAGGGUUAAACAGCUCGAGUCCAGUGUCCUGCCUACUGGGGAGGGGUUUCCCACAUCCGGGAACUUGUUCUUUGUUCUGUGUGAGUCUGCUUUCGGUUUUGGCCGAGACGAAGGGAGUCGCAAUGCUGGUCGCUCCUGGAGCGGAUGAUUUAUUUCUGUUGCUGUACAUAAUAAAGCUUCUUAGAGAUUAGAAAGAAGCCGCAUACACAGUUUUUUGCAUGCUUGCACACAAAGGCAUGGGACGCGGGUGGCAAUGUGGGUUAAACCACAGAGCCUAGGACUUGCCGAUCAGAAGGUCGGCGGUUCGAAUCCCCGCGACGGGGUGAUCUCCCAUUGCUCGGUCCCUGCUCCUGCCCACCUAGCAGUUUGAAAGCACGUCAAAGUGCAAGUAGAUAAAUAGGUACCGCUGUGGCGGGAAGGUAAACGGCAUUUCCGUGCGCUGCUCUGGUUCACCAGAAGCGGCUUAGUCAUGCUGGCCACAUGACCUGGAAGCUGUACGCCGGCUCCCUCUGCAACCCCAGAGUCGGCCAUGACUGGACCUAAUGGUCAGGAUUCCCUUUACCUUUACCUUUACAGAAAGGCACAAGCUGUGUUUACUCUGCUACACAUCUGGUAAAGCUGAGUGCCAGCCGAAGUGUGCCGCACCUAAUUACUCCACAAACCGCUGUUGUUGUUGCUGCUGCUGCUGGCCUCCACUUGUCUCGAGAGACAAUGGAGUGCAUUUUCAAGGGUGAAAUCAAACCUCUGUGCUAACAGCACCAAAGUAACCUCCCUGGGGUGCAAGCCUGGGUAGUGUGUAUGGAGGUCCUAGGCUGCCCAGAUGACAAGACCCUCCCCCUCAUGGCCUCACUGAUGUGGCACCAGCUUGGCUGCAGGCAUUGCCAGAAGGAGACAUACAAGGCACCAUCCAAACAUCACAGGGAUUCCCCUUCAGACUUGUGUAGGGUUUACUCGUUGGCCAUUUCUUCUCCCAAAGAUAUUUCCCAGGGCAGAGGAGGUUUAGUAUUAGAGUUUUCCUUCUCUUAGAUGGGCUUCCUUUGCCAGUAGACAAGUCCCAUUUGCCCCUCACUUCCCAGGUGUGGGGAAGUGGACCUAACUGAUAGUCCAGGUCCUUAUUUCCCCCAUCUCUCAUGUGCCAACUUUCGACAUUAUAGGAUGCCUGCACAUUUUGAAAUCAAACCCCUUCAGCCAAAGGUACAAUGAUUCUAUCACGGGAGCCAGCAAAGCUCCCAGUGAGACCCAGUUGCAAAGGAACAAUUGUAAGCUGCCAAAAGUUCACAUAUGACAUCAGCCUGUGGGCUUUAUCGGGACAGGUCCCAAUUGGUUAACAAGGCCAUGUCCCCCCAAGGCAUGUUCUCUUAACGCAUACCUGAAGGUUCCUGUCCCCACCUUACACCCAUUCCUUGGAAGGGCUCUUAAUUUUAUCCAUGUGGAGUGUUUUGAGUUUCAAACAGGGCCAUUAGAGGCAACAAGUUAGGAAGGUGAAGCCUAGUAAGUAAACCUGCUUACUAAGUGACAAGGACAAAACUUGUCAAUCAUGCAUGGUUCAAGUACCCACUUCACACAAGUAAAUGAAAAGAUCUACAUAUACUUUUGUCAGGAAGGCAUCCCCUGGUAUCUUAUUGUUCUUCCUGGGUCUCAUUUCACUCUGAAAACACCUAGCCUGGUCCCUUUGUCAGGGCUGUCAACACCUGGUUUGGCAGCCGGGAGUGGUAAACCUGAGUAUGUGAUGAUACAUCUUGAGGAUUAUAGAGUCCCCUUCCGCCCCCCCCCCAUCCCGGUAUCACAUUUUUUUUACCUUUUGGAACUAAAUAAAAGCAUCUAUUUGGCUAUUUUUGGUGAAUUUCUGUGUUUCAGAAAAUGGGAUUUCCUUCCCUUAUGAUGGCGCUGGGAGCCCAGUAUAAUGGAGGGAAAUGUAUAGAAAUAAGUUUGCAUUUAAUACUGUGGAGCAGAACAAGCUCGUAUUUUAUUUUAUUUUAUUUUAUUUUCAGUACAACUCAGGUGGUUAAGAAAGCCCAACAGAGACUCCAUCUCCUCAGAGUAUUGCGAAAGAACGAUGUCAAUCAACAUUUGAUGAUCUCCUUCUACCGGUCCACAAUAGAAAGUGUCCUUUCAUACUGCAUCACGGUGUGGUACACUGGUUUGACAUCAACUGAUAGGAAGUGCCUACAGAGGGUGGUGAAUACAGCACAAGAUAUUAUGGGCUGUCCCGUGAAUCUGCUGGAUGACAUCAUGGAAGAACACUGCCUCAGGAGCGUGAGGAAAAUUCUCAGGGAUGAUUCACACCCUGGCCGGCACUUUCUUGAUCUCCUGCCCUCGGGCACAAGAUAUAGAAGCAUGAUUAGUCGUACCAACAGGGUAAAGAAUAGCUUCUAUCCAUGGGCUGUUAGGCUGCUGAAUGAAAAGAUAACAACAGGGCAACUGACUUUUGGGUUUGGUGUGUGUGUGUCAGUAAACGAGGGGAAUUAAGACUAAGAGAGCUGAGUGGGGGGUGCUCAUGUAAUCUCACUGUAUACAAGUUGUACGAGUGA